AACGAACGCUGGCGGCAUGCCUAACACAUGCAAGUCGAACGAGACCUUCGGGUCUAGUGGCGCACGGGUGCGUAACGCGUGGGAAUCUGCCCUUGAGUUCGGAAUAACAGUUAGAAAUGACUGCUAAUACCGGAUGAUGUCGUAAGACCAAAGAUUUAUCGCCCAAGGAUGAGCCCGCGUAGGAUUAGCUAGUUGGUGGGGUAAAGGCCUACCAAGGCGAAGAUCCUUAGCUGGUCUGAGAGGAUGAUCAGCCACACUGGGACUGAGACACGGCCCAGACUCCUACGGGAGGCAGCAGUGGGGAAUAUUGGACAAUGGGCGAAAGCCUGAUCCAGCAAUGCCGCGUGAGUGAUGAAGGCCCUAGGGUUGUAAAGCUCUUUUACCCGGGAUGAUAAUGACAGUACCGGGAGAAUAAGCCCCGGCUAACUCCGUGCCAGCCGCCGCAGUAAAAC
rnacentral:rRNA from 1 species